UACGGAGGGUGCAAGCGUUAUCCGGAUUUACUGGGUUUAAAGCGCACGUAGGCGGGUUCUUAAGUCGGUGGUGAAAUCCUGGAGCUCAACUCCAGAACUGCCUCCGAUACUGAGAGCCUCGAGUCCGGGAGAGGUGAGUGGAACUGCGAGUGUAGAGGUGAAAUUCGUAGAUAUUCGCAAGAACACCAGUGGCGAAGGCGGCUGACUGGUCCGGUUCUGACGCUGAGGCGCGAAAGCGUGGGGAGCAAACAGG
rnacentral:rRNA from 1 species